rnacentral:rRNA from 1 species
AUUGAACGCUGGCGGCAGGCUUAACACAUGCAAGUCGAGCGGAGACUUCGGUCUUAGCGGCGAACGGGUGAGUAAUACCUAGGAAUCUGCCUAUUAGUGGGGGAUAACGAAUCGAAAGGUUCGCUAAUACCGCAUACGUCCUACGGGAGAAAGAGGGGGAUCUUCGGACCUCUUGCUAAUAGAUGAGCCUAGGCCGGAUUAGCUAGUUGGUAGGGUAAAGGCCUACCAAGGCGACGAUCUGUAGCUGGUCUGAGAGGAUGGCCAGCCACACUGGAACUGAGACACGGUCCAGACUCCUACGGGAGGCAGCAGUGGGGGAAUAUUGGACAAUGGGGGCAACCCUGAUCCAGCCAUGCCGCGUGUGUGAAGAAGGCCUUCGGUUGUAAGCACUUAAGUACGAGGAGGAAGGUCGACUGUACUAAUAUUAUAGUAGAAUUGACGUUACUCGCAGAAUAAGACACCGGCUAACUCUGUGCCA